UGGGUCCUUCACUUUUAAGCCACGGAGGAGACAGAAAACUUGGAGAAAAGAAAGCCUUGAGGAUUAAAAGCAAGAACUUCUGGAAAACUUUCUUUUACCUGACAGAAUGAUGUCUAUACAGAAAAAUAUGCCUUUGGAAGAAGAAAACAAGGAUUUGCAACAGCACCCGGGAUUCCUCUUAACAGCUGCAACUUCUGGUGUCCCAGGACUGUGCAAGAAUCCUGACCCUCGGCUGAGCAAAACAAAAUUUUCUACACCCUUACUCUGCAAAGAAAGCCCCCACGUUCUGAUACCAGACUACCAGGAGAGCAGGAAACACCCAUAAAUACUACUUUAUUUUUCCCUCUUCUCUUCCUCUUUGGCAGUCACAGAAAUUUAAAGCAAAUGUCGUGGUGAAUUCUGCUACAAGACUUUCAUGCUACUGAACCUUCUCCUGGGCAGUUUAGCUGACUUGUAAACACUUCUCAUGCUUCUGGAUAAAUUCCAUGAAAUCAGAAUUAUCUUCUUUCUAAUUAGCAACUUUUUACAGUCUUAAAAAUUAUCUAUGGAAUGUAAGAUGUCUCCUUCUUCUAAUAUAUCUUUUUUUUUUUUUUUCCUGAAUGUUGGUAAAGCGGCAAACCAAUCAUCAGCUGCUACGAUUUCAGCUGUUAAUGACCCACCACAUAAAAAGCUUAUUAGUUUUAUAGGAUACUACUCUCAAUGAUGGAGAUUAAUCUCACUGAGUAGAGAUUACAGGUUUCCUCAGUGCCUCCUCCCAGGGCAAGGCAGGAAUGGAGUUUUCCUACUUACUCUGUCCCAGAAAGCCUGACAACUGGCCAGCAUGCCCACAGUAGCCUGACAGUGACUGCCCUGAGUGACUCACUACGUCACAGAAGGAGAGGUGGAGGCUUGUGGGGUAAGGAUGGGAUUUGGGUAAAGACUUUGGGGAAAUAUUCUGUGAGUGAAUAACUGAAAAAAAGGUUAUAUUUAACCUGUUAGAGUCAACACAUUGCUAAUUUUGCUGCUGCGGCCACUCCUACUGUUGCCAGUGUUAUAGAAAAACAGCUACUGCUGGAGGCGACCCUCCCCUGGCAGAGAAUCUUCGAAUCAUUGAAUGUCCUGAGUUGCAAGGGACCCACAAGGAUCAUUGAGUCCAACUCUUGUCCCCGCAUAGGGCAAUCCCAAAAUUCACACCAUGUGUCUCAGGACAUUGUCCAGUCUCUCCUUGAAGACUGUCAGGCUUGGGGCCCCUCCUGGGGAGCCUGUUCCAGUGUCCAGCACCCUUGGGGUGAAGAACCUUUUCCUCAUGUCCAACCUAAACCUCCCCUGGCACAUCUUCCUGCCAUUCCCUCAGGUUCAGUUACUGGUCACCAGAGAGACGAGCUCAGCCCUGCCCCUCCUCCUCCCCUUGUGAGGAAGCUGUGGCUGCCAUGAGCUCUCCCCUCAAUCUCCUCUUCUCCAGGCUGAACAAACCCAGUGACUUUAGCUUCUGCUCAUAUGGCUUCCCCUCUAAACCCUUCACCAACUUUAUGUGCCUCUUCUGGACACUCUCCAGAAGCUUAGUAUCUUUUAUAUCCUGUAGCUCCCAGAACUGCACACAGUGCUCCAGGUGAGGCUGCACCAGUGCAGAGCAGAGCGGGACAGUCCCCUCCCUUGCCAGGCUGGCAAUGCUGUGCUUGAAGCACCCCAGGACACGGUUGCCCUCUUGGCUGCCAUCAAUGAUUUGGACAAGGGAACAGAGUGUACUAUUAGCAAGUUUGCUGAUGACACGAAGCUGGGAGGAGUGGCUGACACACCAGAAGGCUGUGCUGCCAUCCAGAGACCUGGACAUGAUGGAGAGAUGGGCAGGGAAAAAUCUAGUGAAAUAUAACAAGGGAAAGUGUAGAAUCUUGCAUCUGGGUAGGAACAACCCCAGGUUACAGUAUAAAUUGGGGAAUGACCUAUUAUAGUGCAGCGUAGGGGAAAGGGACCUGGGGGUCCUGGUGGACAGCAGGAUGACCAUGAGCCAGCACUGUGCCCUUGUGGCCAAGAAGGCCGAUGGCAUCCUGGGGUGGAUUAGAAGGGGGGUGGUUAGUAGGUCGAGAGAGGUUCUCUUUCCCCUCUACUCUGCUCUGGUGAGACCACACCUGAAAUAUUGUGUCCAGUUCUGGGCCCCUCAGUUCCAGAAGGACAGGGAACUGCUGGAGAGAGUCCAGCACAGGGCAAUGAUGAUGAUGAAGGGAGUAGAGCAUCUCCCUUAUGAGGAAAGGCUGAGGGAGCUGGGGCUCUUUAGCUUGGAGGAGACUGAGGGGUGACCUUAUCAAUGCUUACAAAUACAUAAAGGGUGAGUGUCACGAGGAUGGAGUCAGGCUCUUCUUGGUGACAAUCAACAAUAGGACAAGGGGUAAUGGAUUCAAAUUGGAACACAAGAAGUUCCACUUCAAUUUGAGAAGAAACUUCUUCUCAGUAAGGGUAUCAAAACACUGGAACAGGCUGCCCUGGAGGGUUGUGGAGUCUCCUGCUCUGGAGAUAUUCAAGACCUGCCUGAACACAUUCCUGUGUAGCCUCAUCUAAGUGUUCCUGCUCUGGCAUGGGGAUUGGACUAGAUGACCUCUUGAGGUCCCUUCCAAUUCCUAACUUUCUGUGAUUCUGUGACACUGUUGGCUCAUGUUCAACUUGCCGUCAACCAGAACCCCCGGAUCCCUCUCCGCAGAACUGUUCUCCAGCAUCUCAUCUCCCAGUCUGUAUGUACAGCCAGGGGUGCCAUGUCCUAGGUGCAAAAUCUGGUACUGAUCAGAUCCAGCCUGUGUCACUGUCACAGGCUGCAAUGGUGUAGGUCAUCCCCCUGACCAUGGGAUGUCAGGGCUGGCUUGCACUCUUCUCCCAGACUACUUAUUUCUGCUUCUCUCUUUUCUGUGGGGCGAGAGAAGACUCACUUGCCCUUGCAGGGACACAGAAGGUGAAUUAUAUAGUGAUAUUUCUGGAACAAUGCACUUAUGAGAAGCAAGAACAUGGCUGAAGUUGUUGAUACGGUGACAAAAAUAAGAUAUAAGGGAAAGAGCUGGAAGUGUUCUGGUAUGGACACUUAAUGGACCUCAGAAGUCUUUGGAGCACUGUGGGAAAAAGUAGAGAAGAGAAAGUACUUGGGUAGGGUGGGACACAGGGAGGGUUAGGCAUGUUAUGAGAAAGUGUGGAGCUGCAGGAGGCCACAGUCAUUGCCAUCUCUGUGUGUGGUGAUGGGAAGAUGUUCUGCCGUACUUCAUGCUGAGAUGUCCCAAUGCUGUAGUCAUCAAGCCCUACUUACUGCAAACUGCUUCACAGCAGAACAAAUAUUUCCAAACUAGAGUGUAUCUGACAAAGCUUUCCUUUCUUUAGAUUUCUGAUUAUUUGCAGUUCAACUUGCUUCAGUCCUCCAACUGUCUCUAUAGAUAGUGCCGUUCACAUUGAAUGAAGACUCCAAUAUGAUUCAAUCUAUACUGUUAAAGAAAUGAAAUCAGGUUCCAUUUCCUGGUCCAGAGGCCAGCUGCAGGACCUGGUCAGAGCCUUAAUACUAAAUUUCUCUUCUCAGACUGAAUACCUAUCUCUAAAUAAUUCUUGACUCCCAAUCUACAUCUAAUACUUGGUUAGGGAAACAUGAGUUGUCCCUGAUCAAAAGCAUGCCAGGGACUCUGUACAGAGAAUGGGGAUCCACUGUCCUGCCCUGCCUACCUUCUGGCACAGUGUUUUUACUAAUAUAGAUGCAGCCUGAAGGUCAUCCCAAGGUUAUCACAAAAAAGUUUUGGUUAGAAAAGACCUUAAAAAUCAUCAAGUCCAACUGUCAACAUAAUACUGUCAAGUUCACCUCUAAACCGUGUCCUUAAGAACCUCAUCUUGUUCCACAUAGUCAUCCUGAGCAGAUCUCUUUCUCUCAGUUGAUCCAUCUCUCUUUCCUGUGUAACUUUAGGUAUUUAUCUGAGGUGUCUAAUCAUCCUAAGCUCCCAUGGUAACCAGAGAGAAAGGCAAAUGCACUAGCUUGUCUAUCUGGAGAUCUAUAGGUGUCUGCCUCCUUCAGUUGACUUAGAGGGACCUCAAGAAGACAACUUCAGUUGUAGACAACUCACUUAUGCCAAGUGGGAUGAGUCCAGGUGUGUGUAAAUAAAGACCAGGAUUACCUCCUCAGAAUUGUCUCAUUGACUGAGGUAAGGACUUGUGCUGAAGCCAAGGAGACAGCUGGCAAAGCUGAAUUUCCACACCAUGAAGUGGUCAAGCAGAUUGUCACAUUUUGGCUGUUACGCGUUGGGGUUGUCUCCAAGGAGUACUCUGAGACCUUAUAAAAAUAUGUGUUGAUAUGAAGAGAAAGUUGUCAUGCACUUGAGUUAUUACUGCUAGGAGGACUGCUUGCUCCAUGCCAACAGCUAGAAGAGAUGCCCUUGCAUAGUAAAGAGAGCAAUAUCUGAUUAGCGGGGAAUAAAACCCUGGCGUCAGCAGAUCAUACAAAUGUUAUGGUUGCAAGCUGCCAAGAAGCUUGUCAUCAAUUAAUUUUCUUGCAAACCAUUCCACGGAAAAUUCUUCUUUGCCUUUGGCACUAGCAGAACAAUGGCAGCAGAUUUUAUUACUUCUGGAACAGGAGAAUGGCAGCUGGUUUGUCCAAGCAGACUUGCCAGCAGCCCAGAUGAAGGCAGGGUGUAUUCCUAUAUUUCCUCUCUGCUUCCAGGGCUCUCAGGUAUGAACUGAGUAAAACAGUAAACAAAAUGCUCAUUCUCACUAUUGACCCUUUUAUCUCUUUUUAUCUUUCUUUUGGCACAGGCAAUUGUGAGACCUUUCUCAACUUCUUUUCACAGAUUUGCUUGUUCAGGUGUAACUUUCUUCUGUGGCAUCUACUCGCUGGUGGCAGGGUGCUCAGUGACACACGCCCGUGUCCCCUGACACUUGAUGACCGCAGUGAUUCCUGCAGUGUGGCAGGAAACCCAGUCCCAGCUUUGCUGUGAACAAUUGCAUUUCUGUGACCCCAGUUUUGCCUGCAAACGCAAAGAGCUUAGUGCUGGUCAGUUGGCCCUGAGCUUGCCUUAAACAAAAGACAAAUUUCUGUAGGAAAUCACAAGUUCUUGGUCAAAAGAAGUGACAAUUUUAAGUUCCUGGGCUACAAGGUUGAACAACACAUACUGUAAAAUACAAGUAUAGAAGUUACUGAAGACAAGGUUCAAGGAAGACAAGACAUUUUCUAACCUAUACAGGCACAGUUUGACUUGAAUACCUACUCAAAGAUGAAGCUAAUCAAAAUAAGCUAUCUGCAAACCUUUCUAUUGUGGUUAUGUUUAGUAAUUUUUAUCUCUGUUUUUGCAGUAUCCCAUCACGUCUCAAUAAUCCUUCUUAUCCACCUCUUAUUUUUUACUGAUAAAGAUGAAUUACUUUUGCAUUGUUGGUAAAUGUUCAUCAUUCACAAGAGUGUUUUGGGCUUAUUAGAGAGUAGAUUUGGAUUGAUGAGGUAUCUUGUUGGGAAAAUUUUUCUAUCAUUCUUUCAGGCAGCUGAUUGAAUCUUGCCAUUAUAUUUUACUGUGUUUGCUCUCUUGUACCAUAAAGGUUGGGUUUGGUUUGCUAUAAAUUUAUAGAGUAGAAAUGUAACUAACUAACAUUUUUUGUAGGAACACAUAGUUCUUUCUCCCCCUGUUCUUAGGAGUUGGCUUUAAAGAUGCCUUUUAAAUGAAUAAACCAAGUGAGAUGAGACAAAGUGGGAGAACAGAGAAUUACUGUCUUGUUUGGGGAUUAUGUCACUCAUCUGGGACCAAAUCCAGUGACAUCUCAAUUCCAUCACUGAUUCAACAAAUAUUGUCCAGGCAGACUAAUGGUGCAUAGAUAGGCACUGUCUCACUGAGCAUGUGCUGGACGAUGAACCAAGUGGGCACUGAUGCUCUCAGGCAGACAACAGAAUUAACCCUGGACCUGGAUCUAAGCAACUGUAGGUGCUCUUUCCAUUGAUCUACUGGCAGGAAAGAGAUGCUUUUCAUCAUUUGUUAAACACUUCUUGUCUAAAAAAGUGCUUUGAUUCAGGUUGAACUGAGCAUUUUAUAUAAAAGUAUUUUUUUUUUCCAGCAUUUUGGCAAGAAAAGAGUGGUGAGUUAGAUGCAGGUUUUUUAGACUGAGACUCCCCACCUUGAUCCUGAAUUUUACAAAUCCAUGAAGAAGUUGUCCUACAGAAAAUCCUUUGGUGUUUAAAUGUAAGUUGAUAGACUUCAAAGAAACUUUGAAAAGAACUUCAAAUAAAUAUUUAGAGGACUGUAAGAAGAACCCCAAUAUUUAUCUGUCAGAAAACAGCCCCAGUAAACAUUAACUUUCACAUGAAUUUUAGAUGCUCUACUUCAUGCUCUCCUACUGCAACUUCUUACAUGCUCUGCUUGUUCACAUUCAUUUUCCAGUCCAUAAUUAAGCAAAACAGGAAACAACCAGCCUGAUGCUCCCUCAGUUCCCACUCCCAGCUAUUUUCUCUGCAACAUUGUAGAUAGUAAGCCCUGAUACUUCUUGUUUAAUCUUCAAAGACACCAAGCCAAAGACAGGCACCUGAGCUUUCUCUUAAGAAAAAAAACCCUAUUAUUUGGAUCUUAAAAUAGGUGGAAUGGAUCAUCCUCUGAGGACACCUGCCUCACAUCACUGACUAUUGAAGGAGUCUAGAAACCUAAUUUUCAGAUUGCUAGCUGUAGGUGAGAUAACAUAGAGAUUUUAGGCACUCAUAACACUAAAAAUGCAAUUUAAAAAGUAUGUGGACAUCUAAACUGACUGUUAAACAUCGAAGUCAUUUCUCCAUCUAUCUCAAAAGCAUUUUAAAAAUCCUGCUAUGUAUGCACAUGUAGACAUCUUAAUAUUUGUCAUUUUUCCCUUAGACACUUCUGAAAUUUGAUUUAUGCUCCACUUCACAAAUACCACCCUACCAAUUUUCCUGAGAAUUAUUCCAAACUAAAAAUGCUGAGAAAAUACUGACAAUCUAUAUACUUAGAAAAAUGAGUGCAUCAUGAUUAUUUAGUAUUUUUAAAUCUUUCUAGCUGCUGAAAACUUUACUGGAAGCAAACAUAAUUGGGUACAGGUUUCAUGUAAUGAAGUACUAUGAUUAGGAGUCUAUACUAAAAGUCCACCAUGAUAGUACCAGGGAGAAAAAAAAAAGAAAACAAUUGAACACUGUAGACAUUUAACUUAUAUAAUCUUUAGCACAAAAAGCAUUAACAGCAAAGCCUUAGGCUUUGAAAAAUACUAGCCAAUUAUUUUCAUACUAAAUCCUAACGACUUUGGACCUUCACAAAUCAUUUUAUUAAAGACUUCUUUUUGCUUUAAAAAGGCUUUUGCAUUUGGUGUUGUUUCUGUAACCCAAGAGCCUGAUUCAUAUCUCUUUUACAUCAGUGUAGUUUAAUGAUCUCUGCAUUCUGAGUAAGAAUAUAAGUGUUGGGGAAAUCAGGCUGAUAGCAUCAAUGCCAAAUGUGAUUAACUGAGAAAUACUGACCAUGAUAGACAUAGAUGUAGAACGGGGGUGAUCCCCCAAGGACAUGAAUAAUUUCUCAUAAUAGCAAUACUUCCGUUACAAAUUCUAGUACAUAUGCCUCAUAUCACUCUUGCCAAGGUAUGACAAUUACUGAAGAGUGUCAAUUAACAAAAUGACAUUUUCCUAGGAAAGGUACCACACAUUAAAAGACGCAUUUGCCACAUGCAAUACAUAAAAAGCACAUGAAGAGAGACUAAUGAUCUGGCAUCCAUUAUUUAUGGGAAAAUGAAAAUAAAUACAAAUAUCACUAAAAUAUAUUGCUUUAUAUGCCUUUAUAUUAAGUUCAUGCUUCUGCUCCAUCAGGAAAGGAUAUCAUAUUGUUGGAUGUGACCUGUUCUUGACAAAUACAUGUUAACUAUUUCUUAUCAUCUGAUUAUCUUGUCAGUGUUUGCAAAGUGAUUGUUCAACAAUCUUCUCUGUCUUUGCAACUUUCACAGUUAGGUUGCCUGGUUUAUAAGUUUCUGGAUCCUUUUUUUCUCAUCCUCUGGGGCCUGCUCUGGCCUCUUCAAGUUCUAAGGAAAUAACUGCUAAAGUUUACAAGAUUAUUUCAGAUAGUUUAUUGAAUGUUUGGAAAAUAAAUUUAACCAGACUCUACUGUGUUGGAGACAUCUAUCUUACCUGACAAUAUCUGGUUGACCAAAAUCUGAAUUGAUUCAGAUACCUAAACAUAGAUGUCCAGGACUUGAGUAUUCAGGAUAUUUUAGCAUGUCUGAGAGGAUUCAUGCUCUUAGAAAAUUGAACUGUGUCCUGAAAGAGGAAUUUAUUUGAUUUAGACACCCGCAGAAAGGGGGAGGAUUCAGAUCCAGAUUCAGGUACAUAAAUUUCAUUAUCUGCAGUGUAGGUAUGGACCUAGGAGGUAAGUAUUAAUGCAGUGGAAGACUUUUCAAUAGUCAGCAAAAUCUAUAAAAAUAUUCAGCACAUCCUGAAGUGGACAAAUGUAUUUGAUUAACUGAAAAGCUUUCUUGACUAUGUUUGCUUACUAGCGAUGAAACACAGUUAUGCAAACAUAGACAUUCACUGACAUUUCAGAUACCUUUGAGCAUCUGACACAUAGACAAAGGUAUGGCAGGAUGAAACAGGGCCUCUUGUCCUUUUCAUUUGGCAGCUGGAGGCCAGAAAGAGUCUAUCCUGAGACUUCUUAAAUAGCACAAGGUAUCUUUAUUUAAGCAGCUGAAUCCCACUUUUGACCUCUGUUGAUACAAUGGGAACCAAGAAAGCCUUAUUUUAUUCAAAUGUCCCUGGACAGGCAUCUUAUGCCAUUGAAGAUAUCCUAGGGUAGACAGCCUGCUGGAUUUCUAACUGUGAUUGAAGAAAAACAUGUUUUUCCCAUAGGUCUCUAAAAUGAUGUCCCUUAGCAUCAUUCAAGCAGCAGCAGACGUUGUUUAAGCAACUGAAUCAACUUCCUUUAUGUAAGAUAUGUAAACAUUUACUAUUCCUAAGCAUAAUUAUCACAGUAAUAUUAUUCCUACAUAGGUAAAGCUUAUCUUUUGCAAUAAUCCUACUGUACCACUUACUUAAAAUUAUGGUGGCACUAGUGAAAGCCUAGUGGUAACCAUACAGGUCUUGCCUGUUGCUCCCAAGAGGCCAAGGUGGCUUUUAAUCAUCUUGUCACUCUCUUUUAAAGGCUGUAUUUUCAGAUUGAUCUAGAUAUUUUGAUAGUGUUACAGUUGGUGGCAUUUUUAUUCCACCUAUUCAACUGAGAUCAAGUAUGAGUUGUCCAGACAUACCCAUUGUUACACUGGAACACUGCUGCUCAUCUACCACUGUGUAAUAUUGUAGAACUCCAGAUUUAUCCUCUUCUCAGCUUAAAAAAUAGGCUGUAAGCUUAGCUCUAUGUUGUUGUGAUCACUUUGUGUCCUUAUAUAAAGUGAUCAGAAAUAAAGGAUGUAGAAAUUCUCAGUUCCUUUGGUCUGCUUUGACUUCAGUUGUUUGCCAGUGAUCAUUUUAAUGCUCGUUUCCCAUUGAUUGUAUCUCUUAUAUUCACAUAUACUUAGGUUACCCAGCAAAUAUUUCCCUUUAUCUGCACCAGCUGUCAUUCAUUCUCACUAUACUAUGACCUUCUUUGAUAGCUUCUAAAUCUCUUUUUAUAUUUUAUUGAAAAUGAAGACAGGAUAACUUGGAGCUAGAUCCAACUUGCACUGGGGUAUUUUCUUUGACACUGCCUCUGCUAAGUCUGCUACAGGCUGUUGAAACCCAAAUUCUUAAGUCUGUGGGGUACUUCUAUAUCAAUAUAUCUAUAUCAAACAACACCCUGGAAUGGGCACUGCAAAUCUAUUUGGCAUAUUUCUGGUUGCCAGAGGGUUUCCUGGCAUAGUUUUGGUCAGGGCUGAGUAGCAUUCUCACAAAUAGUUCCCAGGCACAGUUUAGGAUGUAUUAUAGACCAGGAAGCAUUCCCAAUAGGAAAUUUGGAUACAGUCACUCUCUUUUGAAGGUUAGGAGAACUGAAACUUAUGGAUGUUAUCAGAUAACGCCAACUGGCCUCCAGGGUGAAAAAUAAACACUGGCACAGUCUUGGUAAUUGACAAAGAUACAGCCAUUGCUUCUAGUGGUUAUUGGGUGCCUAAAACCUUAAGAGAAUGGGAAUUCAAGCUACAAAUUAUAUAUAUAUAUAUAUAUAUAUAUAUAUAUAUAUAUAUAU